CCGGAUAGGCAAUUUUUCCUGUAAUGGUUUUUUGUUUAAAUGUUUUUUCGCCUAAGGAUGGGUCUGCGGCCGAUUAGGUAGUUGGUUAGGUAAUGGCUUACCAAGCCGUUGAUCGGUACGGGUUGUGAGAGCAAGAGCCCGGAGAUGGAACCUGAGACAAGGUUCCAGGCCCUACGGGGUGCAGCAGGCGCGAAACCUCCGCAAUGUGAGAAAUCGCGACGGGGGGAUCCCAAGUGCCAUUCUUAACGGGAUGGCUUUUCAUUAGUGUAAAGAGCUUUUGGAAUAAGGGCUGGGCAAGACCGGUGCCAGCCGCCGCGGUAACACCGGCAGCUCUAGUGGUAGCAGUUUUUAUUGGGCCUAAAGCGUCCGUAGCCGGUUUAAUAAGUCUCUGGUGAAAUCCUGUAGCUUAACUGUGGGAAUUGCUGGAGAUACUAUUAGACUUGAGACCGGGAGAGGUUAGAGGUACUCCCAGGGUAGAGGUGAAAUUCUGUAAUCCUGGGAGGACCGCCUGUUGCGAAGGCGUCUAACUGGAACGGUUCUGACGGUGAGGGACGAAAGUUAGGGGCGCGAACCGGAUUAGAUACCCGGGUAGUCCUAACUGUAAACGAUGCGGACUUGGUGUUGGGGUGGCUUUGAGCUGCUUCAGUGCCGAAGGGAAGCUGUUAAGUCCGCCGCCUGGGAAGUACGGUCGCAAGACUGAAACUUAA
rnacentral:rRNA from 1 species